UACAUAGGGAGCGAGCGUUAUCCGGAAUUAUUGGGCGUAAAGAGUGCGUAGGCGGUAUAUUAAGUCGGUGGUGAAAUGCUGAGGCUAAACCUCAGCCUGCCUCCGAAACUGGUAUACUAGAGUACGGUAGAGGUAAGUGGAAUUCCAUGUGUAGCGGUAAAAUGCGUAGAUAUAUGGAGGAACACCAGAGGCGAAGGCGGCUUACUAGGCCGGCACUGACGCUAAUGCACGAAAGCGUGGGUAGCAAACA
rnacentral:rRNA from 1 species